rnacentral:rRNA from 1 species
GAUGAACGCUGGCGGCGUGCCUAAUACAUGCAAGUCGAGCGAACAGACGAGGAGCUUGCUCCUCUGACGUUAGCGGCGGACGGGUGAGUAACACGUGGAUAACCUACCUAUAAGACUGGGAUAACUUCGGGAAACCGGAGCUAAUACCGGAUAACAUGUUGAACCGCAUGGUUCAACAGUGAAAGACGGUCUUCCUGUCACUUAUAGAUGGAUCCGCGCCGCAUUAGCUAGUUGGUAAGGUAACGGCUUACCAAGGCAACGAUGCGUAGCCGACCUGAGAGGGUGAUCGGCCACACUGGAACUGAGACACGGUCCAGACUCCUACGGGAGGCAGCAGUAGGGAAUCUUCCGCAAUGGGCGAAAGCCUGACGGAGCAACGCCGCGUGAGUGAAGAAGGUCUUCGGAUCGUAAAACUCUGUUAUUAGGGAAGAACAAAUGUGUAAGUAACUAUGCACGUCUUGACGGUACCUAAUCAGAAAGCCACGGCUAACUACGUG